GGGGAGGGGGCAGGAGCUAAUCCCUCGGAAGCUUCCUUUUCCUUUCCAAUAGGAGGAAGAGCUGGAGCUGAUCCCUUGGAGGCCCUGGAUUUCUUCCGAGCAGGAGCUGGGGCAGACGUUUCAGGGAGGGCGGGACGUUUGUCCCCAACCUUUUUUGCGACUCCCCCGUCAUUGGCAGGAUCAGAUCCAACAUCCCCAGUACGGGCCUCC
rnacentral:lncRNA from 1 species